GGUCGCGUGGCCCAAUGGCAAGGCGCUUGACUACGAUUAACACUUGACAUCAAGAGAUUCUGGGUUCGAUCCCCAGCGUGACCU